rnacentral:rRNA from 1 species
UGGGUUAAGUCCCGCAACGAGCGCAACCCUUGUUACUAGUUGCCAGCAUUUAGUUGGGCACUCUAGUGAGACUGCCGGUGACAAACCGGAGGAAGGUGGGGACGACGUCAGAUCAUCAUGCCCCUUAUGACCUGGGCUACACACGUGCUACAAUGGACGGUACAACGAGUUGCGAACUCGCGAGAGUAAGCUAAUCUCUUAAAG